UACGUAGGGUGCAAGCGUUGUCCGGAUUUAUUGGGCGUAAAGCGCGUGUAGGCGGCCAGAUAGGUCUGCUGUGAAAACUCGAGGCUCAACCUCGAGCUGUCGGCGGAAACCAUCUGGCUAGAGUCCGGAAGAGGAGAGUGGAAUUCCUGGUGUAGCGGUGAAAUGCGCAGAUAUCAGGAAGAACACCUAUGGCGAAGGCAGCUCGCUGGGACGGUACUGACGCUGAGACGCGAAAGCGUGGGGAGCGAACAGG
rnacentral:rRNA from 1 species